AUGCGUAUGCCCUGCAGCCUGAGCGGGGCCAGCGCUGCAUCUACACAUUUCGUGAAUGUGCGGGACAAUGUUCUUGCAAAUGAAAUAACACCUCUAUAUACUGUAAAGCAUGAUUUAGAAGGAGAAAAGACGACUCUUUCCUGCAACUACAGUGGAAGUAAUAUAAAGUGUCUUCAGUGGUACAGACAGCAUCCCAACACUGCUCCAGAGUUUCUCUUGCAAGCUUUUGAAAGUGUGGAACCACAGGAGAAGGACAAUUAUGUUGCUAAAGUUCGAAAGGACGAAAAACAACUAGAUUUGGAGAUCUCCAAAACUGAAAUAUCAGACUCUGCCAUGUACUACUGUGCUCUGGUGCCCACAGUGACAGGAAACACUUCUACACUGUACAAAAACCUGACAAACACUUGA